UGCAAGUCGAGCGGGGAGAGGUAGCUUGCUACCUGACCUAGCGGCGGACGGGUGAGUAAUGCUUAGGAAUCUGCCUAUUAGUGGGGGACAACAUUCCGAAAGGAAUGCUAAUACCGCAUACGCCCUACGGGGGAAAGCAGGGGAUCUUCGGACCUUGCGCUAAUAGAUGAGCCUAAGUCAGAUUAGCUAGUUGGUGGGGUAAAGGCCUACCAAGGCGACGAUCUGUAGCGGGUCUGAGAGGAUGAUCCGCCACACUGGGACUGAGACACGGCCCAGACUCCUACGGGAGGCAGCAGUGGGGAAUAUUGGACAAUGGGCGAAAGCCUGAUCCAGCCAUGCCGCGUGUGUGAAGAAGGCCUUUUGGUUGUAAAGCACUUUAAGCGAGGAGGAGGCUACUUGGAUUAAUACUCUAGGAUAGUGGACGUUACUCGCAGAAUAAGCACCGGCUAACUCUGUGCCAGCAGCCGCGGUAAUACAGAGGGUGCGAGCGUUAAUCGGAUUUACUGGGCGUAAAGCGUGCGUAGGCGGCUUUUUAAGUCGGAUGUGAAAUCCCUGAGCUUAACUUAGGAAUUGCAUUCGAUACUGGGAAGCUAGAGUAUGGGAGAGGAUGGUAGAAUUCCAGGUGUAGCGGUGAAAUGCGUAGAGAUCUGGAGGAAUACCGAUGGCGAAGGCAGCCAUCUGGCCUAAUACUGACGCUGAGGUACGAAAGCAUGGGGAGCAAACAGGAUUAGAUACCCUGGUAGUCCAUGCCGUAAACGAUGUCUACUAGCCGUUGGGGCCUUUGAGGCUUUAGUGGCGCA
rnacentral:rRNA from 1 species